UACGGAGGGCGCAAGCGUUGUUCGGAAUCACUGGGCGUAAAGCGCGUGUAGGCGGCUUGGUAAGUCGGGUGUGGAAGCCCGGAGCUCAACUCCGGAACUGCACUCGAAACUGCCUCGCUCGAGUCCCGGAGAGGGUGGUGGAAUUCCCGGUGUAGAGGUGAAAUUCGUAGAUAUCGGGAGGAACACCAGUGGCGAAGGCGGCCACCUGGACGGUGACUGACGCUGAGACGCGAAAGCGUGGGGAGCAAACAGG
rnacentral:rRNA from 1 species